AGAGUUUGAUCAUGGCUCAGGAUGAACGCUAGCGACAGGCUUAACACAUGCAAGUCGAGGGGAAACGACAUCGAAAGCUUGCUUUUGAUGGGCGUCGACCGGCGCACGGGUGAGUAACGCGUAUCCAACCUGCCCAUCACUUGGGGAUAACCUUGCGAAAGUAAGACUAAUACCCAAUGACGUCUCUAGAAGACAUCUGAAAGAGAUUAAAGAUUUAUCGGUGAUGGAUGGGGAUGCGUCUGAUUAGCUUGUUGGCGGGGUAACGGCCACCAAGGCGACGAUCAGUAGGGGUUCUGGAGAGGAAGGUCCCCCACAUUGGAACUGAGACACGGUCCAAACUCCUACGGGNGGCA
rnacentral:rRNA from 1 species